rnacentral:rRNA from 1 species
CCCUACGGGAGGCAGCAGUAGGGAAUUUUCCGCAAUGGGCGAAAGCCUGACGGAGCAAUACCGCGUGAGGGAAGAAUGCCUACGGGUUGUAAACCUCUUUUUCAGGGAGGAACAUAAUGACGUGUACCUGAAGAAUAAGCAUCGGCUAACUCCGUGCCAGCAGCCGCGGUAAGACGGAGGAUGCAAGUGUUAUCCGGAAUCACUGGGCGUAAAGCGUCUGUAGGUGGUUUAAUAAGUCAACUGUUAAAUCUUGAGGCUCAACCUCAAAAUCGCAGUCGAAACUAUUAGACUAGAGUAUAGUAGGGGUAAAGGGAAUUUCCAGUGGAGCGGUGAAAUGCGUAGAGAUUGGAAAGAACACCGAUGGCGAAAGCACUUUACUAGGCUAUUACUGACACUCAGAGACGAAAGCUAGGGUAGCAAAUGGGAUUAGAUACCCCAGUAGUCCUAGCUGUAAACUAUGGAUACUAGAUGUUGAACAGAUCGACCUGUGCAGUAUCAAAGCUAACGCGUUAAGUAUCCCGCCUGGGAAGUAUGCUCGCAAGGGUGAAACUCAAAGGAUUGACGGCUGAGAGNGCGAGCGACACGAGGGAGAG